UGUGUGUAUUAUGCAUUCGGUCGAUAUGGCGAUAAGGGGUUUGUUAACGGUAGCUAUUCAAGGGUUAUUUGAACUACCAACAGCUGCCGCUUUUAUCCUGUGCGCGUCUUUUUUCGCUUUGCAAAGGCUCAACUUUCAAACUAGUUAACAAUUCAACGGCUAAUGGUGUUUCGUUAAGGAGUGUUGCGACGGAUUUAUAUACCUAGGAUAGUUCACCGGUUAUGACUGAAGGCCUUGUUUUGAGGGUGUUUUGCAGACCAGUGGUAGUCGGCCUGGGGAUUUUCAAGAAAAACUGAAGACUUUCCCCAUAUGUACACUCUGGAUCAGCAAACGAUGUUUUGCUUAAAUCAGUCUUCCGGAGGAUUCCGGAAAUAGUCGAUGUAUCACGAUUGUCAUCCGGUUGACAGCUAACGAUAAAAGAGUAAUCGAAAUAUAAGCAGCUGUCGCUUCAGAAGUACAAGUAGAUGUCGCUCCUCGCCUUACCUGAUUUGACGAACAGUGUGUCACACUAUUGAAUCACUAUUCACGCAAUAAUUCCAAUCAGCGUGUUGCACAACAGCCAUACACAUGAUGGGCUUUAUUAGUAAAUUGC